ACACGACUACAUUAGAUACCCGCGUAGUCCAGGGUGUAAACGCUGCAGACUUGGUGUUGGAAGCCCUUUGGGGGCAUUCAGUGCCGGAGAGAAGUUGUUAAGUCUGCUACUUGGGGAGUACGUCCGCAAGGAUGAAACUUAAAGGAAUUGGCGGGGGAGCACCGCAACGGGAGGAGCGUGCGGUUUAAUUGGAUUCAACACCGUAAACUCACCAGGGAAGACUGUUACAUGAAGGCCGAGAUGAAGACUCUGCUAGAUUUUCAG
rnacentral:rRNA from 1 species